CAGACACAAUUGGCCGUCUGCGGGUGGGAAGCCGGAUGUGUGAGGAGUAGGGGCAAGAAGAAGAAAAAAAGGGAGAGGCUCGGCGACAUCUUGGUUCGCCGCCAACGGCGGGAAAAUAAUCCCACUCGCGCUGCGCAAAACAAACGAUUCCCCUUCCGCCAUCUGCCGGCCUCGAGCGCUCCAGCUGUGAUACGUACAUCCGUUCAGUAUUUACAGCAGCAAAGCGAACACGGAAGUUGCACAAACAGGUGUUAUGUAGUGCUGGGAGUCUUUUUCCUCAACGUUUUUGCCUUCGUCCCUGUAUUGCGGAGAGCGCCGAGACAGUUCACCAAACUGAACGGGACGGCCCUGUUUCCAUAGAGACCGACCUGGCUGGGAAACCUCCUGCCGCCAUCAGCAUUGACCACAUCGAACACAUUGUCCCAGCUGAUCUAGGCCAAUAACAGUUUGUCUACC